CUCUUGCCUUCCUGUGUGAGUCAGCGUGGCUGCCCUUGUGCACGCCAGGCUCCUGUCUGUGCUCCGGGGCCUGUUUCCUGGCCUCCCCAGAUGAGGAAACUGAGGCACAAAAAGGUGAAGUCCUGAGCUCACAGUCAUGCAACCAGCAGGUGGUGAAACACACCUCCAAGCUGCCUGCCUCCUAAGCAUCAAGCUUUGUGGCCCAGGGUGAGAACAGAUUUUUGUUUUUCCAGGUGGAUAUUUGAAAGGGAGGAGCUAAGGUUAGUUCACUGAUCCUUCUUCCUUCUCUGAACUCCUGAUGCAGAUUUCCCUUCUUCCAUGCUAGAUCUUGGUGUAUGUCCAGGUGACUAGGAUCUCAGGAUCUCAGAUACCUACUGUGAAGUGUGGAACAAAGCCAAGUUCUAUUACAUAUUUGAAAAAUCCAGGUGACAGGAAGAGGAUACAAAGAUGGAGUAAGCUCCCCGUGUCACCUCGUGGGAGGUAGAAGGGAUCAGGGUAGGGAGUUAACAAGAAAACUAAGAAAGGGAUGAUGAGACUGAAAUGGAAAAGUAGAUCAGUGAUUGCCACAGUAGAGUGUAAUAAAAGCAAUAUAAGAUCUUCUCUUUCUAUUUAUGUUCGUUAAAAAAUAAAAGACAUUAGGCUUGACUACCAUUUAACA
rnacentral:lncRNA from 1 species